AUAAUAAUACAAAUGCACCAUCAUUUAAAUCCAUAUGUACUUGCGCUUUUUUAUGCGUGACGUGAUGACGGCUAUUAAAGAAUGUUUUCCGGCUCUCCGUGCACCGACACAAAUAACCGAGAAAUCCACAAAUUGGGGCGACAGAAUGCAGCAACAUUUCCUCAAAUAUGUUUUGGGACUUCAUAGAGGGUUGUAGUAAUGAUGAUACCGAGCCGUCUUCAAGGUAUCAAGGAGAUAUUGUUUCUAUGGUUGCUGAUAUUGGUGUCACUGAACCAAAUUCUCGGAUCCCAGCCACCGAAUUUCUCGAAUUCUAAUGCGAUGGAAACUGAGAGUUUUCAAGAACUUUCUUGGGGCUUAACAGACAUAGAGUGUCAUCCAAUUUUACAGGCCACAACUAGCACUGAGCUGAAAAGGGAGCUUCCAUGGGAACCUUGCAUAAUAGAGUCAAGCGGAAGCUAAAAAGAAAUCUCAGGACAUACCACUCUUUCAAAAAUCUCGAAGUGAAGUGUCUGACAAGGUUUGCGGAGAACCGAGGAGAAAGAAGCAUGAGCAAAGGCCUAAAAGAACACGUUCAGCUGAGAUGCAUAAUGUGUCUGUAAGAAUGAGUAGCAGCCUUGAUAUUUCGUAAUCAUGUGUUCUAAAAAUUUCAGUCCGUCCAACUAUGUUGUUGUAUUUGUUAUUGGGCAGAGGCCCAGGGACCGGAUCAAGGGAAAGCUGAGAGCUCUACAGGAAUUGAUACCCAACUGUCACAAGGUCGCAGUGUCUAAUCUAUAUUGACAAUAUCUUCUUGAUUUUGCUGUUAACAGGAAGCUGGGAUGCUCAAGUUUCCUAUCUCAGCAUGGAUUUUAGUAUAAGCCAUAUUGUAAUUUUACAAAAACAUUACCUGCAAUUUGUUUUCUGAACUAUGAAUUAGUUAGCAAUGGUGUUUUUCACUAAUGAUUAUGUGAAGGAUCGGCUAUGUAGCCAACUACCUUAAAUUCUCUUCAUGUUAUAGGCUUUUGUAAUUUCACGUGUAGUGGUUUGAGCUGUAUUUAUAUAUUUAUCAGGUUAAGGGAGCUUUGUGAGUCCAGAUAUUUGAAACUUAAAAUCUGUCACAAACCGAGCUCUGAUUUUGACAUGCAGCUAUCUAUUUGUUUGCUUUCUAGCUAGUUCAUCAUUCAUGUGGCUAUUCAGAAGCUGCUGAAGUAAGAGUUUACAUGGUUGAGCUAGUAGCUGUUAUAAAUGAGUUGUUCUGAAAAGCAUAUAAGAGUUUUUUUUUUUUUUUUUCAUUUGAGUGGUUGCCACUAAUUCAUCUUUAAAUGGUCGUAGUAGUACUGGAUGACAUGGUAUUAUGUUUCUUUUUGCUAAAGCAAUUUAUUUAAUUGUUAGUUAUUGCUGGUCUCUGUGAGGAUUUCUGACUGUUUUGAUGCUUCUCUCCAGAUUUUUUGUUUCUGUUUCUUGGCAAUGCCGUCUAAUUACAUCCAAUCAAUCAAAAUUUCACAACUGUAUUUCAGCAGGACCGACCGUCAAUGCUAGAAGAUGCUGUUGAAUAUCUUAAAGCCUUGAAGCUUCAAGUUGAAGUGAUCACUUUAUCUGUAAUUGCAGUUCUUCAAGCCUUGCCUGCUAUUAACUUGUUUCUUUUUCUGUCCAUCAGAUGCUGUCCAUGAGUGGUGGAGCAACGUGCCAGGCCUCAUGUAUGCCACAGGCUGGAAUUCCAAGUGUACCAAUUCCCCAAUUUUCUAUAUAGGCAUCCAUGAGGCCAAGUCCAGGAAUGGGAAUGUUUAGCAUGUCGCAUUCGUUGGGUCUUCCAAUGAUAUCACUUCCCUCAGCUGUGCAUCUCCAUUCUUCACUAUCAGCAGCAGCAGCUGGAUUGAAUCCAAUGACUGCACAUGAAAUUCUCCCCAACCCUCAAGUGCAAAUGCCAUUCAUUUCCUCACAGCCAUUACCUGCAGAUGUAGCCACAUCAAGUACACCGCCAACAUUUGCAACUGGGUUCUCUGCCACAUACGAUAGUCCUGACGAAGGAGAGUAUAGUCCUCGAAUGUACCGAAGGAACACCAUCUGAUUAUCAUCUACCAGUAAACAUGUCAAGUUAAUUCCAACCUGUACUCCUUUUUUUUAAUGCUUUUGGAAUCCACUAUGAUCAUACCUUUUGUUCCCUGACCAAUUAUUAUCUCCAGUUAUCUUUUGCCGAAGUUGAUUGCUAUACAAUUCUUUGCUAUAUUAAUUAUCAGUUCUCAGAAUCAUGACAGAGUUGUAGAAAUGCUAGCCAUACUCUUCAAUAACUGCAAGUCAUAUUAUAACGCCUUUGUUCACACAGAAUGUGGUUCCAGUCUACUUUCUUCAACGAGGAAGCUGGCUGGCGGCUACAAUUUAGUCAGUGACAGAGAGAAAAAUGUUUCUUAUUUGAAUUUUGAAGUGCUGGUUGACUUCAUUUGAUUAUUGCAGGAGGAUAACUGAAGGCUUGCAUCAGACAGUUUCCUUGGACAGAAAUGUUGAGUUAGCAUCAAUUUCUUCCACUUAUAUAUCAUUGUAUCCAUGAUUAGCUAAUUACCUGUUAUGUCGUGAAAUCAAAUAUCAUUUCUCAAGAAAAUCCUACGCUCUAGGCUUUAGCAACUUUCGUUAUGUUUCUUAACAGUGAGAUCAUAAGAUGUUUAAACAUGAAUGGUAAUGGUGAAGUUACGGGUCAGUCCACCAUUUGAAUUGGAAUGGCAGAACUUGUAAACAGAUACCUGUGCAGAAUGUUUCUUAAAUCAGCAGGCAAAUAAGAGGUUCCCAUCAUAACAUUUCAAUCUUGUACAUGAUUUUUCAUGACCAAAAUUCAAGAUCAAGCAGCUGGACCAGCAUUGAUCUUGAAGUUCGAAGUAAAAU